rnacentral:lncRNA from 1 species
CCAGCCACUCAGGAACCUUCCAGAAGCGCGGUUCCAAGACCGGCCACCGGGAGGGCGGGCGGACUGGGUUCUCCCAGCUAGGUCGCAGUGGGCGAUGGGGAUCCCCAAGGGUGGGCCGAGAGCUGACGGAUCGGCAGCGCUGGUUAAGGCCCCGCACCUGCAGCCCCAGUGACCUUGAACGAUUCCGCUCUGCGGCGGGUGUCCCUAAACUAGCAGUUUAGGGUGUCAGAGUUCCCGAGAGGACAAGAUAGUGUAUAUACUGGACUCCCCGUGAGCAGAAGUAAUUUUCACGCUCUGGCUCUCACACCUGAGCACACAUAGCAAACGUGAAUGCAUAUGCUGGUUGCCAUACUUGAAACUUCAUAGCAUUCUUCAUAACCCCUGCACCAGCCUUCUGCACUACCUACCAAUAAAUGCAUGCGUAUUUCA